rnacentral:rRNA from 1 species
AUUGAACGCUGGCGGCAUGCCUUACACAUGCAAGUCGAACGGUAACAGGUUAAGCUGACGAGUGGCGAACGGGUGAGUAAUGUAUCGGAACGUGCCCCGUCGUGGGGGAUAACUGCUCGAAAGAGCAGCUAAUACCGCAUACGACCUGAGGGUGAAAGCGGGGGAUCGCAAGACCUCGCGCGAUUGGAGCGGCCGAUAUCAGAUUAGGUAGUUGGUGGGGUAAAAGCCCACCAAGCCGACGAUCUGUAGCUGGUCUGAGAGGACGACCAGCCACACUGGGACUGAGACACGGCCCAGACUCCUACGGGAGGCAGCAGUGGGGAAUUUUGGACAAUGGGCGCAAGCCUGAUCCAGCCAUGCCGCGUGCGGGAAGAAGGCCUUCGGGUUGUAGACCGCUUUUGUCAGGGAAGAAAAGGUUCUGGUUAAUACCUGGGACUCAUGACGGUACCUGAAGAAUAAGCACCGGCUAACUACGUGCCAGCCGCCGCAGUAAAAC